AUAUUUAUCUGGCAGGGAGACACCAUGAUCACGCAAGUUUUCCCAAGGCCAGGCUUAGCCAUUGCACUCCAGAUCUGCUGACCUCUGUGAUUUCACCAAAUGUGGGAAAAUCAACUGCAUACAUUAAUUUGUGGUAGUAGGGGACUGUGUUGGCAUUCUCCUUUG